rnacentral:rRNA from 1 species
GACGUAGGGCGCGAGCGUUGUCCGGAUUUAUUGGGCGUAAAGAGCUCGUAGGCGGCUUGUCGCGUCGACCGUGAAAACUUGGGGCUCAACCCCAAGCCUGCGGUCGAUACGGGCAGGCUCGAGUUCGGUAGGGGAGACUGGAAUUCCUGGUGUAGCGGUGAAAUGCGUAGAGAUCCGGAAGAACACCGGUGGCGAAGGCGGCCUGCUGGGACAGUGCUGACGCUGAGGCGCGACAGCGUGGGGAGCAAACAGG